rnacentral:rRNA from 1 species
CACGUAGUUAGCCGUGGCUUCCUCCUUAGCUACCGUCAUUAUCGUCACUAAGGACAGAGGUUUACAAUCCGAAAACCGUCUUCCCUCACGCGGCGUUGCUGCAUCAGGGUUUCCCCCAUUGUGCAAUAUUCCCCACUGCUGCCUCCCGUAGGAGUUUGGGCCGUGUCUCAGUCCCAAUGUGGCCGUUCACCCUCUCAGGCCGGCUACUGAUCGUCGCCUUGGUGGGCUUCUACCCCGCCAACCAGCUAAUCAGACGCGGAUCCAUCUUACACCACCGGAGUUUUUCACACUGAGCCAUGCGGCUCUGUGCGCUUAUGCGGUAUUAGCACCUAUUUCUAAGUGUUAUCCCCCAGUGUAAGGCAGGUUAUCCACGCGUUACUCACCCGUCCGCCACUAAGUUACGAAUCACUAGGUUCAUCGUAACUCCGUUCGACUUGCAUGUGUUAGCACGCCGCCAGCGUUCAUCCUGAGCCAGGAUACAAACUCU